rnacentral:rRNA from 1 species
AAGUCGAGGGGAAACGAUAGAGAAAGCUUGCUUUUUCUAGGCGUCGACCGGCGCACGGGUGAGUAACGCGUAUCCAACCUGCCCAUCACUUGGGAAUAACCUUGCGAAAGUAAGACUAAUACCCAAUGAUAUCUCAAGAAGACAUCUGAAUGAGAUUAAAGAUUUAUCGGUGAUGGAUGGGGAUGCGUCUGAUUAGCUUGUUGGCGGGGUAACGGCCCACCAAGGCGACGAUCAGUAGGGGUUCUGAGAGGAAGGUCCCCCACAUUGGAACUGAGACACGGUCCAAACUCCUACGGGAGGCAGCAGUGAGGAAUAUUGGUCAAUGGGCGAGAGCCUGAACCAGCCAAGUAGCGUGCAGGAUGACGGCCCUAUGGGUUGUAAACUGCUUUUAUAAGGGAAUAAAGUGAGUCUCGUGAGACUUUUUGCAUGUACCUUAUGAAUAAGGACCGGCUAAUUCCGUGCCAGCAGCCGCGGUAAUACGGAAGGUCCGGGCGUUAUCCGGAUUUAUUGGGUUUAAAGGGAGCGUAGGCCGGAGAUUAAGCGUGUUGUGAAAUGUAGAUGCUCAACAUCUGCACUGCAGCGCGAACUGGUUUCCUUGAGUACGCACAAAGUGGGCGGAAUUCGUGGUGUAGCGGUGAAAUGCUUAGAUAUCACGAAGAACUCCGAUUGCGAAGGCAGCUCACUGGAGCGCAACUGACGCUGAAGCUCGAAAGUGCGGGUAUCGAACAGGAUUAGAUACCCUGGUAGUCCGCACGGUAAACGAUGGAUGCCCGCUGUUGGUCUGAAUAGGUCAGCGGCCAAGCGAAAGCAUUAAGCAUCCCACCUGGGGAGUACGCCGGCAACG